GUAACUUGGUUCUUAAAAUGUUCUUUCUUACUGGUGUGAGUGUAAAGAGUCAAAAACAUUCGGAAAAGCAUUUUGGUAAUUACUGUAAACAUUUAAAAUCACAUAUCCUUUAACCCAAGAAUUCCACUUCUAAUAUGGUCUUCCACAGAAAUAUGUGAACAAGAGUUUAUCUUCAUUAGAUAAUUUUUUAAUCAUGAAGACCAAAAGCAAUCGGAAUGUCCCCUAAAGGAAGAAAGUUUGUAUAAAUUAUGAUACCUACAAAUUAUGGUACACCAUGACACCAAAAGAAAGAAUGGAGCAGAACUGUAGUUACUUUAAUGGAAAGAAUAUUGUGAUGUAUUAUUGAAUACAAAAUGAAUUUAUAUAACUUUCAUUAUCAUAUAAUUUUUGUUUAAAAGAAGAAUAGAUUGAUAUGUGUAUAUAUACAUAAAUAUAUACACAUAUAUAAUAUAAGUAUGCACAUAUAUGAUAUGCAUGUUAAUGCAGGAUUAAGAGGUCUGGAAAAAAUAUACACCAAAUUGUUCACAGUGCUGACUUCUGGAGAGCGAAAUUAGGACGGUAUUGAUGCGGAGGAGGCACUUCCAUUUUUAAAAUUUUUGCCAUCAAUUUAUAAUUUAAGAAAAAAACAAAUAUUUAGCACUAUGAAGGCUGAAAUAAAGCUCUCCUUAAUAUCAGAUUAAUUGGUGAGAGAUUUAUAUGAAAGCAGCUUAGCUGCUAAUAAUCCUUUGAAGUGAGGCAUGUUUUGCAUAUGGAAUAAAAGAUUGUGGUUCUUUGGGGGCUUUUCGUAGGUAGUAGUUCUUUUGGAGUCUCCAGCAAAGCUGUAGACUUAGCGGUGAGAGUCCAUUCUUGUCGGUCCAUAACCCUGGCUCCCUGGGAUCUCAGUCACCUUGUGGUUGCUCACAUCUAAUGAAGAACUAACCGAGGUAACUGAGGUUGAACAGGUUAUUCCAACAGGUAGUCAGCCCAAAUUAAUGUGAACAGCUGUUGGGUCUAAAGACAAGUACGGCGGAUGUCAGUACAAAGCAGCUGUUGCUUGGUGAGCUAAACAGUGAGCGGCAUCUCUGUGCCGUGCUGCUGCGUCAGAUUUAGUUACAAGCUCUGGAGACAAAGAUAAAUGCCAGUGUGCAGGUGGGAGUCAAGUGCUAAUUUCCUAUUUUGAGAAAAGCCAAUCACAUUUAUUUUGAUUUUCUACUCUAACAUUAAAUCUACUUCUGACUGCAAAGGAAAUAAUUACCUAUUCUAUAAAGUCGUUAGUUUACUGAGUAGCGUUUUAAAAAAUAACAAAGCCUCUCGUACUAUUCUUGUGUUUUUUAAAAAAUAACUAAUUGAAGACACUCACUGCCAAUAUGUUUUUAAAAUGUGCUAUACAGACACAAUUGCUGUCUCUAGCCAAGUUUUAAUGCUGUAAACAAAAAAUACUAUCUAUUAUUCUUUUAAGGAGUACUUGGUUCAUUGCAGACUUUAGACUGGAGAAUGUCCCUAAAUAUAUAUUUUAAAGGAAUAAGCAAUGCUAUCAGUUUGUAAAAGAUGUUCCAGUGGUGUAACUACAAAAUAAACCCUCAAAACCUGCCUCAUUUUUGCAAACCCUCUGAAAUUAUAUAAAAUGUAUUGUCUCUGUUGUAGAAUUACAUUAAGAGGUAGUAAUGAGAUUUGUCUUUAAAUAAGUUUUUUUUCUGGUUGUGAAAGGAAUAUAUGCCAGAACAUAGAAAAAUAUUAGUAAGAUACCUCAGAAAAUUCAGAAUUCCUCUAAGAAAUAUUGCGGGGAGCCGAGAAAAUGCAGAGACUCGAAAAAAGGACCUUGCCUGACAGCACAAAAACCUGAAGGUAGGUUCCCAACCAAGGAAGGGAGCUCACCUGAACGGUACAAGCCGAAGGUGGGCCUCUGGUCAGGAUGAAAGCCUGCCUGCACGGUACAAGCCGAGGGCAGGCCUCAGGUACACAGCUCUCACUUUGAUGCUGAUGGGGAAGAAUGGGGGCUUCCCUGGGAAAACAAUUUCCAUGUUUGCGCUGGAGAACAUGGAUUGUUUCUCGGGUGACCUAGUCUUUCCUGUUGUUUUAUUCGUUAUUCAGUUUCCCUCAGUCUUUCCUGAUUAUUUACUUCUUAUUCUUAUUUCCCAUUCUUAUUUUCCUGUGGUGAUUUGUGAUUUAACAAAGUUACAACAAUAAUAUAAUAAGAAUUUCAUCCUGAAGGACUUUCCCCUAUUUAAAUCCAACUUAGUUAAAACAUAGUGUUUAUCUAUUAACUAGUUAUAUAGUAAACUUUAGAGUUAGGAUCUUAAUGAGGUUCAUAAAAGUUAGACAUGUAUUAUCCAAAAAACCUAGCUGUGAGUUUUGUCUUUGAUUUUAAAAGCUUUGAAGUGAUAGCUAGUUUAGUUAAGCUGGUUUAUAUUUUCUUACACUCUCCCCCUGCCAUAACGCUUUGAAGAUAAGCACCAGUCUACAAACAAGGUUUGUGAAUGCCAAAUCCUUGUGUCAUGAACUCUUCAAUUUGUAAAGACUGGCUGGCCAUGGGAUGAUUUGUACUGUCUCCUCCUUUCCAUGAUGUAUUGUGCCUAAUUGCUCUUAAAUUGUACUCACUAAGUUUAGUUAAAACAAAGAGCUUAAAACAUGAUGUAUAGCUGCUAUACCAUGUAGUAGUUAACCAAUGUACUUUUAACACUGUGAUGUAAUCUGUAGCAAAAAGCUGUCUCUAUAAUCAACCACUUAUGCCAAUAAAAUUUGAGCAGUCCAGCGCCCUGAAAGAAAGGACAAAGAGGCUGUCUCUGUAUUUGUACAUUUGCCGACGCCGUCCAUCUCCUUUGGGGAAGUGUACACUCCCUGGCUGCUGGAGCUGGCGUCCGACAACAAAAAAUGAUAUUAUAAACAAUGUAAAAGUGAUAAACUGUUCUAACAAAAUUUAAAAAGUUUAAAGGCAUGUUUAGUAUAUAUGAUAAAAGGGCUAAUUUCUUUAAUAUGCAAGCCAUUCUUACAAAUUAAUAAGAUAAAUUGGCAGUCAUUCACUUCUUUUUUUUUUUUUUUUUUUUUUUUUUUUAUUUUCCCACUGUACAGCAAGGGGGUCAGGUUAUCCUUACAUGUAUACAUUGCAAUUACAGUUUUUCCCCCACUCUUUCUUCUGUUGCAACAUGAGUAUCUAGACAUAGUUCUCAAUGCUAUUCAGCAGGAUCUCCUUGUAAAUCUAUUCUAGGUUGUGUCUGAUAAGCCCAAGCUCCCGAUCCCUCCCACUCCCUUCCCCUCCCAUCAGGCAGCCACAAGUCUCUUCUCCAAGUCCAUGAUUUUCUUUUCUGAGUCUUAACGGCUCGAGACCUCACAGGUCAGUUAAAGGUUGAGUUCUAGGACUUCCUGCUGUGGCGCAAUGGGAUCAGCAGCAUCUCUGCAGUGCUGGAGCACAAGGUUCCAUCC
rnacentral:lncRNA from 1 species